rnacentral:sRNA from 1 species
ACGCUCUCUCUCUAGAAUCAUCUCCAUUUUUUUUCUCCUUCCCGUCCAACUGCCUCUCUGUCUCUCUCUUUCUUCACUUUUUCUCUCAUCACCAAAUUCCAAUCUUUUCGCCACUUUCUCCCUCAUCAUCAAAGAUCUUUGGUAGAGAUAAAGCUGGGAGGAGCAGAAAAGGGAUGAUAGAGAUGAAGGGAGAAGCUUCCUCCGAGAAAUUGGAGAAGCUUCUUAAAUUUCGAAGCUGAUUUUGUACUACGACGAUCUGGUGAAGGUGUUGAAGGACUAAAGGGACAUCAACAACUUGGCACACUGUCUCCAGCAUCGCAAGGCCCUCCGCUCCUCCUGCGAUUCCGAUUUCAAUGAAGUCCAUAACUCGCUUUGAGCUUUGCCUAAUUUCGAAGUAUAAAAAGAUGGGGGAGAUUGCAACUCAGAAACAUGUUGAAUUCAUUGUAUCGGUCGAAAAGGUCUACUUUUUGUUCAAAUAAAGUUUCCAUGCUUUCGGUUUGUAGUAUGAAGCUAAGAGUUACAAUAUGAAAACGCUGUACUCAGAGGAAGGAUUCUUUUGCUGUGGUGGUGAUGGAGCAUAUAAAAAUGAGUGGAGCAUACUGGUGUUGAAUUCGUAGUGCACUUUGUGUUAAAUUUCAGAUGCCGGAUCCUAUUUGCAUGCAUUUGCAUGUAUUGAUUCAUUAAAUCAUUGAUUAAUCUGUUAUGAAAGACGAUAUAAUUUUAUAUCAAUUUUUUAUUUUUGUUGCAUUUGUCUGUGUUGAUACUAAU